CGGAGCCAGGCUGAGCCACGUGAUUUGUCGGAGACUGGGGUGCCGGGCCCCUAGCCACAGUCUGUCAGCUCGUGUCUGCAACGUUACUAGGGAAGCGCCAGUGUCGCAGCCGGGAGGGGAUCUUAGAAGAGAUCGUAGGGUGCCUCCUGAAGAGCUACCAUGUCUGAGAAUUCUACAUCUUCCCCAGUACAGAACAAGAACAGAUAUGAACCCAAGACUGCUAAUCUUCGAACGACAGAUAAGAAAUGUUCAUGGGCCUCCUACAUGACCAACUCCCCAACUCUUAUUGUCAUGAUUGGUUUGCCAGCCCGGGGUAAAACCUAUGUGUCUAAGAAGCUUACACGCUACCUCAACUGGAUUGGGGUGCCUACCAAAGUGUUCAAUCUUGGGGUUUAUCGACGUCAAGCCGUCAAGUCCUAUAAGUCCUACGACUUCUUUCGGCAUGACAACAAAGAGGCCAUGAAGAUCCGCAAACAUUGUGCCAUGGUGGCCCUGGAAGACGUUAAGACCUAUCUGACUGAGGAGAACGGGCAGAUUGCGGUAUUUGAUGCCACCAAUACUACCCGGGAGAGGAGAAAAAUGAUUUUGAACUUUGCCGAGGAGAAUUCCUUCAAGGUAUUCUUUGUGGAAUCUGUUUGUGAUGAUCCUGAUGUCAUCGCUGCCAAUAUCCUGGAGGUAAAGGUGUCAAGCCCUGACUACCCUGAAAGGGACAGGGAGAAUGUGAUGGAGGACUUCCUGAAGAGGAUUGAGUGCUACAAAGUCACCUACCAACCCCUUGACCCAGACAACUAUGACAAGGAUCUUUCUUUCAUCAAAGUGAUAAAUGUGGGCCAGCGUUUUUUAGUCAACAAAGUCCAGGACUACAUCCAGAGCAAGAUUGUCUACUACCUCAUGAAUAUUCAUGUCCAGCCUCGCACCAUUUACCUUUGCCGGCACGGAGAGAGCGAGUACAAUCUCUUAGGAAGGAUUGGGGGUGACUCUGGCCUCUCUGUGCGGGGAAAGCAGUUUUCCCAGGCUCUAAAGAAGUUUCUAGAGGAGCAGGAAAUAAAAGACCUUAAAGUUUGGACAAGCCAGUUGAAGAGGACUAUCCAGACUGCUGAGUCUCUUGGAGUGACCUAUGAGCAGUGGAAGAUUCUGAAUGAGAUUGAUGCUGGCGUGUGUGAGGAGAUGACAUACGAAGAGAUCGAGAAGCAGUACCCAGAGGAGUUUGCUCUUCGAGAUCAAGACAAGUAUCUGUAUCGCUAUCCUGGCGGGGAGUCAUACCAGGACCUGGUACAGCGGCUGGAGCCUGUCAUCAUGGAGCUGGAACGUCAGGGCAAUGUCCUUGUCAUCUCCCACCAGGCUGUCAUGCGAUGCCUCCUGGCCUACUUCUUGGAUAAGGGCGCAGAUGAGCUACCAUACUUGAGGUGUCCUCUCCAUAUCAUCCUCAAACUCACUCCUGUGGCCUAUGGGUGCAAAGUGGAAACGAUUACGCUUGGAGUGGAGGCUGUGAACACUCACCGUGAAAAACCGGCUAACAACCUCCCCAAGAACCAAACCCCUGUAAGGAUGAGAAGGAACAGCUUUACGCCUCUAUCCAGUUCGAAUACAAUAAGGCGUCCGAGAAAUUACAGUGUUGGGAGCCGGCCCCUCAAGCCCCUCAGCCCUCUCCGUGCCUUGGACAUGCAAGAAGGGGCCGACCAGCCGAAGACCCAAGUCAGCAUUCCGGUGGUGUAACCGUGUGUUUCCCUUUAGCCCUGGCCUCCUGCCCUUGUCACUAAUCUCCAAGGAGUCAUUUAACUUCCACCGCCACCCCUUCCCUCAACACCUCACCAUUAUUCUUAACCCAGAAUGUGAGGUCACACAUGUACAGGCCAACUCUAGUCGUUCUCCAGUUGGAAACAGCUCCUCAUCCAGGGGCAGGAUGGCAAGUUGGGUCUUUUAGGAUGGGGUGGUCUGGAGAAGGAGAAAAAGGACACAUUCUCCCUGGGGGCUAAGCAUGCCUCAUAACUUGGUUCUUUGUUCUCUGGUGUCUAACCUCACUCAUGUCCUAGUGUUGGUGAAGUGGGGAUGAUGGUGAGUGAAGGGAACCAGGAAAGCCCAGUUUUCCUUCACCUUGUCUCUUUAAUGUGAAUUUAACUCACAGUCCUCACUUAACUCGUUUUCAUCUCCCCUCUGGAUUGUCUAGUAUAAUGCAUGACAUUGUAGUGUCUGUCAAAGAGGGAAGGGGCAGUUGGUGUGGGAGAAGUCCAGGCCCCAGUGGUGUUUUCUAGUGGGUCUAAGUGGAUCUGGACUGGAGGAGUCUCUCCUUUCCCUUCUCCUUCCUCUCCAGCCAGGUCCUGAAAGGGCCAGCCCAGGUUACAGAACAUCCACAGAAUGCUCUGGAGCUUGCAAGUGGACAUAGGGUUCUUUGCCAAUCACAGCAACUUUCCUGCCACAGCCAGUGACCUCUGGGGCUUUUUAGAAGGAUGGAGUUAGAUUCUGGAGUCACCACUGAUGUCUGAAUCACUCAAAACAAAAGGCAGAGAAGAGCUCACUCAGUUCACCAAAGCUGCUUAUUAUUUUCCAGUAAUUUCCAGCAUACCCCUAAAGUUAUUAUUAUUAUUAUUUUAGCAGGAGAAAAUUUUUUUCCAAGUGUGGAAAAACUUGAUGAUGAACUUAAUCUCUCUUCUUGGGGCACUCUUUUGUUCAUAAGGAGAAAUUAAUUUGACAUUUUGAGAAUUUCAUGCAGUCUAGCUCUUUCCUGACUAUUCUAAUUUAUCUAUUCAUUUCUGUCAUCUCAUUUUCUUUGUAGGGUUUAAAAGUAAUUGUUUAAAGAAGGGACUCUUAGCCCCUUGAUAGCAUAUAAUGGUUUUCCUUCUAUCUCAAUUUUGUAUACAAAAUAGAUGAAUGUAUAUACGCACAUUUUUCUGAGAGACAAAUCUAGAGUUCUCUUGGGAUUUUUAAGAUAGGUGAUCCUCUGCCUAUCCGUUUACAUUUUAGAGUUAGCUGGUGGGAACAAGUUAACUAUUUCCCAAGGGUUUUUGUUUUGUAAUAGAAAACCUUCCAUCAUGGCUCUCACUCAGGAACCUUCCUUCGGAUCUCCUUUACAGCUUUGGAAACUUACACAGGCCUGGGUCCAUCUGAGUCAGGCUGAAUUCUGACUCAGAAACUGGAGUUGAAGUCUGGACACAUGUGUGUUUAAAUAGCUUCCCUGAUGAUUCUGAUUCAUACCCAGGGUGUUCCACCUUAUGAAGCUAAGUGGAAACAUACUAGAUAGUAGUUUCUUGGACAAAGGAUCAACCUUGGCAUUCUGAAUUCCUCUUAAUUCUAAAAGGACAGUUCUUUGGAGUUCAAUAUUGGAGCAGAUCACCGUAGUAAGUGAAGCAGGCCUCUCAGUCCGGCUGCUGUGCUUUAGAGACUUACUGUAGGUUCUAGUUUCACCUUUCACCCUUCACAUUGUGCAGUGAUGUGGAACAAACCUCUAAAUGACCUUGAAUAAAAGCUGGGUUUCCAAGCACUCUGGAGAGAGGUCCUGAGGUACAGUCUGUAAGAUGAGGAAGGUUGUCUCCACCUUGAGCCCUUCACUUUUACAUUCCAAGUAGAAUACCACAGCUGCUUUCCAAAGGCUGCUGGCCUAGCGUCUUCUCAAAAUUGUGUCUAAGACAUAAAAUUACCUGUUCUUCCUGUCAAGCUGUUGCAGAAGGUCUGCAGUAGUGUCUUUGUGGGGCUUGGAGCUGAAUGGGGGAAGAAAGAACAGAAAUAGAAAAAGAAAGGUCCUUGUCCUCAAGAAGGUUACUUUAAGAGACAGGGCAUGUAAUUUACAGCAAAUGAACAUUCACAAAAGAGCCACACACUGAGUCUGAAAGUGCUGAUGUUGCCGUGGAACAUCUGGAAGUGCUACAGAUUGCUUGUGACUGUUCCCUUUUCCAGUGGCUGUGAGACCAAAAGUGUUAGGGGAUAGAAAGACCCCAUCUCCCCAGUGUGAGAAGGAGAGCCUGGGAGGUAUGCAUGGCUCUUUUAUAGGGUUGCCUUUUCUAAUUUGGUUGGGAUGAUGGCAACUCUAGCCCAAAUGGUUAUUCGAUCUAUUCUCCUGCUGCAAGGUGAUAGUAAUUUAGAGAUAAUAAAUGAGAAGAGGGAGAACUUUGAUCCAAAGAUGUGGGAUUUAGACGGCACCUCCUCUUAGGCAGAGGAGCCUUCUCUGACUGACUAGCAUUGUGUUAGUCUGUUAUAAACACUGUCAUUAGAGACAGGUCACUGGAUGUUCGUUUUGGCACUCAUUCUGUUGAUAAUACUUUUAAUCUUCCCCUGUGUUAGUUUGCUAUUCCCAGAGGAGUAAUGGAGGUGACCUUAUCCUCACAUAGGACAGGGGAAGUUAGAAUUUGAAAACAGCACCAGUUUCAACAUCCUUUGAGUUUUGAUCCCUUCAGAGAUGUUCACAAAAGAAGAGAAUAUAGAAUUGAAUAGAGCUCUUCGGGAUUUUAGGGAAGUCCUACUUCCCAUCUUUUUUUUUUUUUUCUAUUCUUCUUCCUCUAGUUACUUGAAAUGUAUAUUGGUAGUAGAUACCUGUUACUCUGCUUAUGUCUAUAUCACAAGUUCUACAAAGAAAGGAUGGACUCCAGAGAACCCUUUGCUGAGGUUUUAAUUGUUGCCAUGGGGGAAAUAGGUAAGACUUUGAUCUAUUGGAAUAAAACAGGAAAUGAAAACCAUAUUUUAUUUUUGUUAGUUCCAAGCUGAAUGAGGAUGUCUGUAACAGAUUUUUGAAAGGAUUUUGUUGCAGAUUCAGAGAACCCACUUCUCUUCUGUUCCUACUUCCUAAUUUCCAAAUUGGAAUUUAGUUCUUAUUUAUUAUCAAUAGUGUCCUUUUUGUUUUGUUAAUGGGCUGGUUUUACAUCGAAUUUGAAAGUAGAAUAGAAAAAUCUUUUUCAAGUAAGAAAACCUUUUAAAAGUCUUUUUAAUCUUAAGAUUUUAAAUCUUUUAAAAAUCUUUUAUCUGCAUCGUGCUGGGGAAUUGCCCUGUGUCAUUGUAUCUGGGUUUUGAUUUUGUUUCCCAAGAAAUUGGAGUAGAGGAUAAGAUGUAUUUGUACUCCUGGAUGGAAUGGUUGAGUGUUUCUUGUGAAGAUCUGAUAGACCUCUUGUAAUCCACAUUUGAUCUUCAGAUGCACUGAUAUUUGAAGAAACACGAUAUAUACCUGUUUGCAAAUAAAUCCAUCUUUUGGGUUUUCUGGGGGCAGGAGAUCUGAGUUCUAGAGUUCUCAUUGAUGCUUGGGGUGGCCAGUGGACAAAGGGAAACACCACGUCCUGGGUGAUGAAAUCUCAUGCACAUUCCACUAUCCUAGCCAAGCCCAGAAGCCAUUGUAUCUGUUGUCAAGAGGUUUGAUAGACGUACCCAGCUUUUCUUAUAUGUACUUUGACUUUUUGUGUGUGUUUUAAAAUGUUUCAUUUUAAAAAUAUAUUGUCACAUUGUCAUGGUAGAUCCUUGCCUUUCCCUAAAGAUGACAUAGACAUCAGAAGUGUGUCCAGGAAUUUUGUUUAGACUCUUGGUGUCCCUAAGACUAUUUCUAAAAGGAUCUGUGCUGACUGACUGUGGGCUCUGAUAGGAUCUGCAGGCCAACAGUCUUCUCGGUUUUCUCAUUGUACUGUUUUUUAGUAUGGUAAGUUAUUGUAAUUGUCUAUCUAUGGCACAUGUCCUGCAAAGAAAGAAACUAAACACUGUACAUUUUCUUUAUGGGGAAAUUCUGUGUGCUAUAAUUUUUCAUAGACAUUUCUUAUGUAAUAGUGGUCAAAUUCUCAGUGUUUAUGAAGAUGAUAGUUGUAUGGUGUUUUGUGAACUCAGAUAAGGGAAUGCCUAGUAAGAAUCUGAAGUUGUGAUUUCUACUUGAAGUCAUCUUGUCCAGUCCCCUGCUUUAGAGUAAGACUUUUCUUUCACUAUCCAUUCCUGAAUCUUCUGUCCUCAGCUUAUCCUAUUAAGGAAUGUAGCAUUCUAAUGAAGAGUGUUAUUGUUUUUAAUCUGCCAUGCAUAUGGCUUUUAUUCCUAAUAUAAUAAGUGCAAAGGAAAUUUGCAUUCAGAAACUGAUUUUAAAUGAGCAAAGGUAUUCUUUCCCAUAAGUCUUUCACUGGGUAUCUGUGGCCAACAUUUACUUACUAUAUUUGUAUCUGAAUUGCUUGUAUACAUUUUUAUUGUUGUUGAAGUAACAAAAUCAACUCAUUGUAAUACAGUGAUGGUUUUCUAUGGCAAAAGCAAAGAACUAAAUGCCACCCUCUUUGGAGGGGACUAGGAGUGGGGCUGAGCCCCACAGGUUUGAAUGGAAAUGGGCUGGGCCUGGAAACCCAGGAACAGAGUUCUACCGUGGACUUCCCAGGCACAGCUUCUGUUGAACAUAGGAGCAUUAAUCUCUAGCACCAUUCUGAUUUAAUCUGGUGACAUGAUGACAUAAGUUUUUACUUAGAUCCACUAAAGGUGUAUAUAACUGUAUUGGAAAUGUGCUUUUGUGUGUGUGUGUGUGUGUGUGUGUGUGUGUGUGUGUGUGUGUAUAGAAUGGGUAAAUAAAAUUGUUGAGUAACUUGAA